rnacentral:rRNA from 1 species
AGUGAACGCUGGCGGUAGGCCUAACACAUGCAAGUCGAACGGCAGCACAGUAAGAGCUUGCUCUUACGGGUGGCGAGUGGCGGACGGGUGAGGAAUACAUCGGAAUCUACUUUUUCGUGGGGGAUAACGUAGGGAAACUUACGCUAAUACCGCAUACGACCUACGGGUGAAAGCAGGGGAUCUUCGGACCUUGCGCGAUUGAAUGAGCCGAUGUCGGAUUAGCUAGUUGGCGGGGUAAAGGCCCACCAAGGCGACGAUCCGUUGCUGGUCUGAGAGGAUGAUCAGCCGCACUGGAACUGAGACACGGUCCAGACUCCUACGGGAGGCAGCAGUGGGGAAUAUUGGACAAUGGGCGCAAGCCUGAUCCAGCCAUACCGCGUGGGUGAAGAAGGCCUUCGGGUUGUAAAGCCCUUUUGUUGGGAAAGAAAAGCAGCAGGUUAAUACCCCGCUGUUCUGACGGUACCCAAAGAAUAAGCACCGGCUAACUUCGUG